rnacentral:rRNA from 1 species
UACAGAGGGUGCGAGCGUUACUCGGAAUUACUGGGCGUAAAGCGUGCGUAGACGGUUAUUUAAGUCGGGUGUGAAAGCCCCGGGCUCAACCUGGGAAUUGCAUUCGAGACUGAAUAGCUAGGGUACGGUAGAGGGAAGCGGAAUUUCCGGUGUAGCGGUGAAAUGCGCAGAUAUCGGGAAGAACACCCGUGGCGAAGGCGGUUCUCUGGGACGGUACUGACGCUGAGACGCGAAAGCGUGGGGAGCGAACAGG